AUUGAACGCUGGCGGCAUGCCUUACACAUGCAAGUCGAACGGUAACGGGCCUUCGGGUGCCGACGAGUGGCGAACGGGUGAGUAAUAUAUCGGAACGUACCUUUCAGUGGGGGAUAACGUAGCGAAAGUUACGCUAAUACCGCAUAUUCUGUGCGCAGGAAAGCAGGGGACCUUCGGGCCUUUCGCUGAUUGAGCGGCCGAAUUCAGAUUAGCUAGUUGGUGAGGUAAAGGCUCACCAAGGCGACGAUCUGUAGCGGGUCUGAGAGGAUGAUCCGGCACACGGGAACUGAGACACGGUCCAGAGUCCUACGGGAGGCAGGAGAGGGGAAUUUUGGACAAGGGGGGCAACCCUGAUCCAGCCAGGCCGGGUGAGUGAAGAAGGCCUUCGGGUUGUAAAGCUCUUUCGGCCGGGAAGAAAUCGUAUGGGCUAAUACCCUGUGCGGAUGACGGUACCGGCAUAAGAAGCACCGGCUAACUACGUGCCAGCCGCCGCCGUAACAC
rnacentral:rRNA from 1 species